CCAAUCUUGAGUAAGAUACUUAGCCUUUCUGUGACUGUUUCCUCGAUUGUAAAGUUCAGUUAUUUUUUUUUUUUUUUUUGGUUCUUUUUUUCGGAGCUGGGGACCGAACCCAGGGCCUUGCGCUUCCUAGGUAAGCGCUCUACCACUGAGCUAAAUCCCCAGCCCCGUAAAGUUCAGUUAUUAAUGACAGUACUUUCUCCAUGAAAUUAGACAAUGGGGCAGGGGUGCUGGGCACACAGCUCUGUGGUACAGUCUGUGCCUAGCAUGCUUAAGGUCCUGGCACCAGAAAUAAACGAAUUAAGCUGUGCUGGGGCAUGCUUUUGUUAUAUCCCAGCUCUUGGGAGACAGAGAUAAGUGGGUUUCUGUGAGUUCAAGGCUAGCCAGAACUACAGUGAGACCCUGUCUCAAAAAUAAGUUAGAUGACAGCCUUCUACUUGUCCAUUGCUUGGUUUAGUUAAUUCUCAAUAAAAUGCUACUUCUACCUCUGGA
rnacentral:lncRNA from 1 species